rnacentral:lncRNA from 1 species
GGGGCAUAAGUACUGAUGGUUUUGCAAUGUGUAGACUAAAUAGCAGUAAAGAGAUGAAUAAAGCGAGGGAGGGGAAAUGGGAGGUGAGUCCCAAGGUUUUGGGUGAAAGGGAAGCAGAAAGAAAUGGAGUGGAUUUGUUUACAGCUAGAAUGAGGUGGUGGAUUCUCAUCUGAGGGCAAUCACGACAUUAUUGCUUUGCUCAUGUGUUGUUCAGUUGAUGCCAGUAGGGAAUUCUUGGGGGCCUAGGUUG